rnacentral:rRNA from 1 species
UACGGAGGAUGCGAGCGUUAUCCGGAUUUAUUGGGUUUAAAGGGUGCGUAGGCGGAGUGUCAAGUCAGCGGUAAAAUUUCGGGGCUCAACCCCGUCGUGCCGUUGAAACUGACACCCUUGAGUGAGUGAGAAGUAAGCGGAAUGCGUGGUGUAGCGGUGAAAUGCAUAGAUAUCACGCAGAACGCCGAUUGCGAAGGCAGCUUGCUAGGCCGGAUCUGACACUGAUGCACGAAAGCGUGGGGAUCGAACAGG